CCGUAUAGUGUGAGACCCUGCAUCGUGACCUACGAACUUCUAACCCCUGCGAGUCAAUCGUACAGUUUGAGCAGGCGCUGAAUAACGCCACUGAAAAAAUCGCACAGCGUAUGCCCAAGGCUCCGCCGAUGCUGAUGGAAAUGGACAAAACGUUAAGAAACGCAAAGCGAGAGGAACAGACUAACACAAACUAAUGCUGUUUUUGACUUCUAUUUAUGCCCUCAGUAGGCGUGACCUAACGGCCACACUUCAAAGCACGACCGAACUUCAAAGCACUCAGCCUUUUGACGCGUCAUGUAAUCUUCGUUCUAAUGGCGCAACUCCUCCCACUCAUUCAUAAUCCGACCUCCGCGUUUGCACUCGCUGCCUACAAGAGCGCCCAAAUUUGAACAUCACUGAUGUUCAUCGGAUUUACAGAGUGACGACAACCCCCGUCAGCAUGUUAGAUAAAGGAUUUAAGUUAUAUGCUGCAUCAUAUAUACACAACUACGAAGUGUCCAAAAAACACAGGUUGACAGGGGAAGUCGGUGUGAGAGCCCUGUGCUACAGGUCAAUGAGGAAGAGUGAGGCACCACACAGACUAAGUGUAGGCAGGAAGCUGUGUAAAGUUGUUAAUCCCUGUUCAGUGGGGUUCAGUUCAUUUAAGCAUUAGUUAAGUUCAUUCCUGAAGGCCCAUCAACUUGAAUGUUUUCCUUGUCCCCCUGCUUUAUCACACCUAAUUUGACUAGUCAGAUGUGUUUGGGUGAUCAGAAACAAAUUUACACCAAGUUAAUACUGCAAAUAUACACAAUCUAAGUUAUUACAGUUAUCAAGGAUGGUUAAAUUGUUUUAAUAGGGAGAGAAGGAAA